UGGGGAAUAUUGGACAAUGGAGGGAACUCUGAUCCAGCAAUUCUGUGUGUGCGAAGAAGGUUUUAGGACUGUAAAACACUUUUAGUAGGGAAGAAAAAAAUGACGGUACCUACAGAAGAAGCAACGGCUAAAUACGUGCCAGCAGCCGCGGUAAUACGUAUGUUGCGAGCGUUAUCCGGAAUUAUUGGGCUUAAAGGGCAUCUAGGCGGUAAGACAAGUUGAAGGUGAAAACCUGUGGCUCAACCAUAGGCUUGCCUACAAAACUGUUGAACUAGAGUACUGGAAAGGUGGGUGGAACUACACGAGUAGAGGUGAAAUUCGUAGAUAUGUGUAGGAAUGCCGAUGAUGAAGAUAACUCACUGGACAGAAACUGACGCUGAAGUGCGAAAGCUAGGGGAGCAAACAGG
rnacentral:rRNA from 1 species